rnacentral:lncRNA from 1 species
AGGUAGUCGAUGAAGCAUCUCGAUCGGUGGCUCCCUGGGAAGAAGGAAACCGAAAUUGCAGCAGGCUUCCACCUCCAUCAAUGGCGGCCACCAGAGCCGGGGGGGAAUUGAAAAUUAACAUUGAUGGAGCUUACCUGGCUGGAACGAACGAAGGUGCGGUGUCGAGUGUUCGCCGCGACAGCUCUGGGAGGCUGGUCUGACGGUUUCGCGCGGUCGAUCAAGGCGUCUUCAGCAGCUCAGGCGGAGGUGCAACCCAUGGUGGAAACCCUCAUGACUUCUCCACGGGAACUGAAGCGUCACUUGAAGUGGAGAAAAUAUUCAAGAGAAGAUUCAAAGUGGGAUCG